UUUCCGUAGGUGAACAUGCGGAAGGAUCAUUGUCGA
rnacentral:rRNA from 1 species